AGAGCGUUAGUGCUCUGCAGAGAGCGAGGGAGAGCUGCAUACGAGGAGCCAUACGUCCACGGCCACUCUGACCACUCUGCUCUUUAACAUUACCCUGAAUGUUUGAUUAACAUGGAUUUAUGAAAGAGACACCUGCGUGGGUUUCGACUGUGUGGACCGCGCUGAGACGAAGGUGAGCUGAGAAGAAAAGGAGAAAGAAAGAGACUGCCACACUUCUGCUUAUAGAGGAUGUUUACUCGCUGCUAUAUGAGAUGCUAGGUGAAGUUCAGGAUGUUUUUUUUAAGCUUCAAUACAAACGGGCCUGCUGCCGUCGUGGUUUUUAGACUUUGAAGCGGAGUGGAGCCUACUUUAGUGUGCGCGCGCAGUUGUGUGCGUGUCUGUGUGUUGAGGGAGGGGGCUGGGUGGAGGGGAGUUACUGUAAGAAAAAAAAAUGGACGAGGAUUUAUCAUCCAGCUAUAGAGGGAGAGAAAAAAAAGAAAUGUAUGACACUUAUUUUCCUCUGAGUGAGUCUGAGCUGUUGAGUCAGACAUUCACCGUAAGUCAAACAGAAACGGUGACUAAAGGAGCUGCACUAUCAAACUACACUAUAGUUUUCUCUUUUUCUGCAUUUUCAGACAACACUUUCAAAUAGUUAUACUGCUCUAAUUUCUUUAAUAAUUAUAAAAGUGCGUGUUUCCUCGCGUUUAAAUACGAGAGUUCAUUUAAAGCCUUUAAAAUAACCUAUUGUAAAACAUCAGCGGCUGUUGUGAUAAUAACUAUAAUCACUCUAACUAUUGAGCUUCUAGUUGGAUGAAUUUAUGUACCGGGUUGUUUAAUAUUAUUAUUGUUAUUGCUGGUGCAAGAAAUCCAAAAGAUGUCACGAGUCUUUCCUCGUGUUGUAAAUAUAGAACCCCGAUCAUCUGGUCAUUCACGUGCACCAGCAGCUGGCAGGUGGUGGACAAUUUACACAACAAAAACAUUUUUUUAUUUGUAUUUUUUUGCCAUUAAUGUGUCCUCAAAAAUUUUCUUUUUAAUAAGUUUAAGGUUUGUCACACUCUACUUAACCCAUUAUUGGCUUUUGUAUCAUAUUUGAUUCAUACUUUUUUGAUACUUUAAUCAAUAUGAUCAACAAAUUACUUUAAAAAAAAAUUCCCGAAUACAUGAAAAUGAUAAAAAAAUGUCCUCUUGUAGUUCCAAAAACAACAAAUGUAUCAAACAAGAUAAAUAAACAUAUCUGUUAAAUUUUAAGGAAAUUUUGAUUUUUUUUUUUUUGGUUUUCAGUGGAAUAAACAUUUCAGCUCCAAAACAAUUUGAAUUUUCUGGCCAUAAUUUGUGGCCAGGAAAGGGUUAAACUUUUCUACUUUAAAUUUUUUUUUAAAUUUUUUUAAACUUGCAUCAAUGUUUUGAAGUCCAGUUCAGUUUAGAAAUAUGAAGUUUCACUGCUACUAUAUGCCUUCUGAAUAAUUUUAAUAAUUAAACACACUAUGGACACUAAAUUUUUAACAAUGUCUUUGAACGUCUACUCCUGAGUUCAGCCACGCAGAGCAGGUGCAGACAUUAUGCUGCUCGCUCCACAACUUGAAGUGAAUUUCCAGAUUUUCCACUUUGAGCCUCAGUGAGAAAUUAAAAAGCUCUCUAGUUGAUAAUCUGCCUUUUUCAGGCCCACACACGCAGUUUGAUCCACACCUUAUACAACACAUCAGGGCAGGGACAUUAAACUGAGGAGAAGCUGAGCGGCCGCAUGGAGAUCACAUCAGAGAGCAGAUCUGCAGGCGAGGAAACUGAUGCAGAAAAGACUAAACGGAAACAGAUACAGAGCGUUCCUCCUGCAGCCUGCUGAUUGUUGAAUACAUUUACAUUUUUAAUACUGUUUUUGGCUGGGGUUAGUACUUCAUAUGAUUCAUUAUGCAAAAAAUGUUAGACAAGUUGUGGUCCAAGAAAAAUUGUUGAAACAAGUCAAAAGCAGUCACUUUGCACUGUCGCCUUUCCUACGAUCAACAGAACUGUGGAAAAUCUUGAGUGUAAAUGUACAGCAAAAGAUCGGUGUUUCAAAAAACAAAACUGUUGCUAACGUUAACCUACCUUUAGUCUCACUCCCUUUAAUGAGGCAAAGCAGAAGUUUCAACAAACAAAACAGGCAAAACUUUUUCAAAAGGAUUAAAUUUGCUCUAAAUAUGAUUUAAAAGUUGUAAAUUAUAAAGUGUAAUAUUUGUAUAUUUAUGAGCAGCUGUGGAUACCUGUUGGGUGCACUGAUGUUUGAAGCCUCUGUGUGCAGGGGUGUUUUUUUUGUCUAUGUGACAGCACUAUAUGAAAUCAGGCAUCUAACUGUGAGUGCUUCAUCAGAAAAAGAGCUACAUUUAAUAAUUACACCAUCACUCACCUGUUUCUUGUAGGAAAAUAAUAAUGACAGUUUACACAGCCUCCUUUAAGAAGGGUUUUUAACCCAUUUUAGCAUGGAGAUUUAAACCUAUAUUAGAAACAAACCACUUGGUAAAAAUAAGAGUGUGUUGUUAAACCUUUGUACUUUUUUGUGCAUUACACUCUAAAUUUAGCCACAGAUGUUCACUUGAUGUUAGGAAUGGAGCUCGUCUGUUAAAUCAAAACCUAAAACCGUCAACAUGUAUAAUACAGGAGAGCAGGUGUUUCUGUCAACCCACUGCACACAAAGUUAAGUUUGAUGGGCUUUGAAAGUCAUAUUGGUCAUUUUUAUAAAAUAAAAAACAAUAAUUUAGUCUUUAUACUUUAAACACACCAAGACUAACAGUCCAAUUAUCUAUUACCUUUUAAAUAAACGUCUCUCUGUUUAGAGAAACAUCGAGAUGCAGGUUUUAAAAAUCAGUGUCACCUAACUUUGAGCUUUUGUCUGGAAAUCUGUAUGAAAAAUGAGAUAAAUAAAUGAUCUAAGUCAGAUUUAAAAAGCUGAAUCAUGUUUCAGAUAUUUGAAUAAAGUAGGACACAACAGAUGUAAUUGUGACCUUAAGCUGUUUGAGGGAAUGUUAACUGGACGCUUAAAUAAACUGGGUUGAAGGCUUGUGGACACACACUGUGUUUAAGUUGGCAAAUUACAGAUUUCAGCAGAAAAUGUGCAGCCCUGACAGGUCAGUGUUUCAUCAGAGUGUGAGAUGCACUGAUCAUACGGAGUGACGCCAUGACUGAAGCAUGUGAUCUGAGUGGAUCCAGACACGUCCUUUGAUACUCCAGUCAAAACGCAUGCACCUCAUGUUGAAACUCCUGUGUGUGAUGUGUGCCACCCAGGCUGCAGACAAGACAUAGAUCAGGGUGUUUUAGAGGAAUACACAAUGAUGUCACACACACACACAGGAAAAAGGGCUGAGGAAGGCUUGGCACCUUUCAGGAUUGGCCAGAUCCCUAUUGGCUCAGCAGAAACGCUGUAAUAAUAAACAGGCAAUCAGAAAGCGGCGUGAGCAUACACAAAGGCAACGCAAAAGUUUGCAGAUAAUAAAAGCAGAUUUUUCACCCGGAGGGAUGAUUAUUUGUGUUCUUCAGUUAUCCAUAAAUAGAGAGCCUCUCACAGGAAGUAUAAACACACAGACGAAGACGAGGGCGGUCGUAUGGUCCAACACAGUGAUUUCAAACAUUCCUGUUUAUGUUCAAUCAAGAUGGAGUGUAUAUAUAAAACUGUAGCCCCAGUUUGAGCAUGAAAUACAAAGGAUUAUUUUCUGAGGGAAGAGGGAAAAAGAGGACCUCAGCACAGACUGUUAGCUGUGUGAUGAGUGUGAACCACAUGCUGGUAGAGCUUAUAACACACACACACACACACACACACACACACACACACACACACACACACACACACACACACACACACACACACACACACACACACACACACACACACACACACACACACACACAUUACUCUUCAGUCUCAAAGUUUUCAAAUUCUCAUAAAUUUAAGAUGAAUUAUUUUUAUUUUAAGAAUGUGUUUAGGGUGAAAUAUGUCACCAUAAUAGCAUAAAUAAGGGACCUGGUUGUUUCCUGGGUGUGAAGAGAAUAAGAGCACAAUUUACCCCUUAUUGAAGCUUUCAGUGGAUCAUGAAGUCAUUGUGUAUAACUCAGGGGGGUUAAUUGGGCUCUAGUGAUGCAGCAUCCCUGUGUCUAUCCCUGAGGGGGUUUCACUCCUCCCCAGGUAUUAAUCCAAUUCCCUUCAUUAACCUGCAGCCCCAUCGGUUACACCAAUGCUGAAUACCAGGACUCUAAUGUCAGACUGAUAAAUGAUGUGUUGUUACCAAGAGUUACAAUGACUUCCUUGUUCCCUUUGAAGCCUCUUAAUUCUCAGAUUUAACACAUUUUAAGCAACAGAGCGGCAUCAUUUGGGCGCAGGAAACUCAAAUUUAACAACAAAAAACUUCACAACAAAUUAUUUAAUACUGGUAUGAGACGAUUAAUGCAGUAAACUGGAAAAUGCAUGUAAAUAUAGGGUUAAACAAGUUGAAUAUCCUGAGCUAGGGGCAUAACGUUCAACUAUGCAGUUAUGGAUGCCCAAUUUGGACAAAAUUAAUGCUCUUUUCACAGUGAGAAAUCCUGGAAAAGCCUCGCUCUUUUCCUGUCAGCGAAACUAAAGAGGUGAUUUGUUUCUACAGUUUUUCUAACAGGCGUACAAAAAAUUGUUUUCACUCUUUAAAAUGCCACAUUAAAACAAAACUGUUCUCUCAUCAAAUUUUGUUCCAGCACUCUGAUUUACAGAGCUGUCAAAUAUUACGAGUGAAACCUCCCACUUUGUUUAAUCUUUGGAUCAGGAAAGGUUAUUGUUGAAUUUCUUACAGUGCUUUGACAUUUUACUUUCAGGUUUAAGAAUUAGUUUCAUCACCUCUUCAGCAUACGUCACUGAGCAGUAAACUGGACGGGUUCUCUGUGUGUCUUUAGGGCGAGUUCUCACCUGGUGUGGAUGUUCUCUGUAAAGCUCCGACUCAUCGCGUAUUUCCUCUCAUCCCAGCAGGGGCGUUGGUGCAGGACGCUGACUCUUCACAAGUGCGGCGUCAGGAUCACUCAGUCCAAAGACGGAGGAGACACCUGGUCAGAUGAGGGACACACUAAUAUGAGGAACAAGAGUAAUAAUGUGAGAAAUAAUUGUGUUUACAUAUGAAGCAUCUUGAUAGAGAAGCUGAGCUAAAAAAAAAAAAGGUGUUUUAUUGCUGACUACUGAUGUGUAUUUUGUCAGAUGCAUUGAAUUCCAGUGUUAACUAGUGCUGUCAUUGGGAUGUAUUUACACACUGCCCAAAACAAUUAAUGACCAAGUAGUUAAAGUGUUUUGACAUUACUGGUACAAGGUUGUUUUCACUGACUGCACUUCACUUUUAUGACAGCAGACUGCAAGUUUUGCAAAGAAUUCCCAAAAUUCACACUUCAAAUGCUUUUUUAAUACCUUUUUAUCUUUAAAGAUAAACUUGAAAACCAGAGCUAUUUAAGAAGCUCCUGAUAAUCUGCGUGUUAGACGGCAUAAAUCUCCUCUUAUCUCCUUUAUCUGCAUGUCAUCAGGGUGCUGGCUCGUCCUCCACAGCAGAGGGCCGGCUCUUUGUGGCCUCAGUGCUAAAUCAAGUUCAAAGAGGACCACUGGUGUUUGGCAGAUAGUUUUACUCCAGGGCAGAGGGAGAACGGAGUGUUUGGUUGACCUCUGAGUCUGUCCUUUGAUUUCCAGAUCUGAGUGACCCCUGACAGAGCAGAGCGACGAUACUGCAAACUUCAUUCAGGCACAGUGCUCUGGGAGAUAACUGACCAAACUUCCAAUCUUGUCACUUAACCAAUGGAUAGCUUUCAAUCUUUUACUGUAAUGUUUUAAUGAUUGCUUUGGCAAAACAAAACCCAUAAAAAAACAUUAGUAGUUCUUGAUUUUUGAAGACAAGCCAAUGCACUCAAGAGCAGUUUUAUCAGGGUUCAGGAAUGCCAAUUUCACUGAUCAUGGACAGACAGACUGAAUGAGAAGAUUAUAUUUUGCAUUAAAUUUCAAAGAUUUUGCUCAAAGGUUUCCAUUUAAACCAGCUGCAUCACUCUUGCAUGACUGUGUAAAACGCUUCAGAAAGAGGGUGUCGUUUGUUGUUGGUGUGUAACUUUUGUUUUCAUUCAAAUCAUAUAAUGAAGACAAUAAAACUUCAACCACUGAUGCAAUAAUUC
rnacentral:lncRNA from 1 species